GGGAUCUAACCCACUUCCCAGAGUUCUCACUGUGGCCCAAAGGGAUCUGUGGUGUCUUGGGAGUGGUAUGACUCCAAUUUGAUGCCUGGCCAGGCACAGUGGGUUAAGGAUCCAACAUUGCUGCAGCUGCUGUUUAGGUUGCAACUGCAACUUGGAUGGAUCUGACCCCUGUCCCAGGAUUUCCAAAUGGCUGGAGAUUACCAAAAAAGAACACUUGUCCCCACCCCACCCUCCAGUUCCCAGUACUCCAGAGACACUGCAAAUCCCAUUUCCUAAUCUUUUUUUUUUUUUGGCUGCACAUGCAGCAUGUGGAAGUUCCUGGGCCAGGGAUCAAACCUGUGCUACAGCAGUGACCUGAGCUGCUGCAGUAACAAUGCCAGAUCCUUAACCCACUGCACCGCAAUGGAACUCCACUAAGGUUUUUUAUAUUGUAACUUUCAAUUUUAUUUUAUUUUAGGGGAAGAGAAAUAUAUAUUUUAUUAUUAAUUCUUCGAAUGAUAUGAAGCAUCUGAAAAGUCAUCAAUUUAACCAACUUGGAAAUUAGGCACCAUUUGAAAAAUUAAUUUGAUAUAUUCACACAUCACCAAUACUUUUUAAUAAAAGGGAAAAGAAGAGAAAUAAAAGGAUCCAAUAAGAUAUUCCCCAAACUUCUACUGUCUUAAUAAAAUUAAGAAAAAUCCACUUCUGUUGGGAAUGCUAUUGUGGGAGACCCUGAGAAGUCUUCUGUGUGGGCCUGGAGAUCCUCUGGAACCACAGUUUCCUGGGAAAUAAAUGGAAUAGUGACCAUCGCAUUUUUUCCAUCAACACACGGCAUCAAGGUCUUUAUGUGCUUUCUAAAAACAGGCUGAAUUACUAUAAUGGUGGAAGAGAACACGUACUGUCCAAUGACUAGUGAUGAAAUGAUCUCUAUUUAAAAAUUGUGUCUUCUAGCUUUCCAUUUUUAUAUAGAAUAAGAUAAAACCUGCCUUCCUUGUUCCUUAGAGCCCCAGGGGAGGUGAAUCAUUAUGAUCCAUGACUCCCGUUUGUAAUAAAGCAUGAAGAGGAUUAAGAUCAGAUUUUCCCUUUGAUGGAAGCUGCAGAUAAAACCCUGUUUCUUGCUCUCCUUCAUCCUUCAAAUAGGCCAAGGAAUAUCUGUAGCUUACACUGGACAACAUCUCUGACUCCUUCUGCCUUCAGAUGACAGCUAGGCAUUGGCUUGGCACUGAAUCUGGUGAAUUAUGUAAAAGUCAAAUUGUAUGUUUGCUUUUUUGUGUCCUGAAAUUUUUUAUUAUUCUGAAAAUAAUAAGUAUGGUCAGGUUUAGACAGGUAAGACAGUCCAUGUUUGACAGAUCUGCAGUACAUAAAUCAACUUUUGGAUUCCUGUCAAACACUUUAGAGAAUGUGCAAAAUUUUGUGUGCAUGUACUAUAUUAGUUUUUCUAGGAAAAUGUCUGUCAUGUUAUUAUAUCUUUAAGGGUAUCUGAGCUGUAAAUAAAUAAGUAAAAAUAAAUUAAGCGCUGAUAUAACAAAAAAGGGAGGCAAUCUACAGAAGGAACACAACACAAUUACCAAAAAGAGAUAUAGCAAUAUAGCAAGAAUGUACUUGAUGAAAAAAGUAUCUGUAAAAACCAAACUAGGAGUUCCUGUCUUGGCUCAGUGGGUUAUGCAGCCAACUAGUAUCACUGAGGAUGCAGGUUCAAUCCCUGGCAUUGAUCAGUAGGUUAAGGAUCCUGUGUUGCCAAGAGUUAUGUUGUAGGUCUCAGACUUGGUUUGGAUCCCACUUUGCUGUGGCUGUGGUGUAGGCCAGCAGCUGCAGCUCCGAUUUGAUCCCAGCCUGGGAACUUCCAUAUGCCACAGGUGUGGCCCUAAAAAGACCAAAACAAACAAACAAACAAAAACCAAAGAAAAAAAAGAAAGAAAAGAAAAGAAAAACAACAACAAACAAAAAAAGCCCCCCAAAACCGCAAAAAAAAACUGACCCCCCACAAUAAAAUAUGAUCCUUUGAGUAUUUCCUAUUUAUAGAAAAAUUGAGAAAGUGAUCUUAAAAAGUAAAAUGUAGUCAUAACUUUUCAGUGUUUUUCCUACAUUUUGUUUAGAGAAGAAAUUUUUAACCCAAUAACUCAAGGAUCUAACCAUAAAAGGUUACAUACAGUGGACAUUGCUUGAAGAUACCAACAUAAAAAUAGUCUAACUCUCCCUUCUCUGUGUCCAUACUGACCAAAUAAUGUGAUAAUUUAUCUUUCAGUGUAAAUAAAUACACCCACAGGUAGACAGUUUAUUGCUUAACAAAUAUGAGUAUUUGCUUUCUUUGGUAGUUGAACUUCUCAAUGUAUAUUAAUAAACUGGCAUCUGAUUUAUAUAUUCUUCCAUGAAUUUGGUUAGUAUCACUCUGUUCCAAAGGUGAUCUUUUCCUAUCUCAGUCUAUUCUACCUGAAACACAAAUGAUAUAUUCAGGGUCUAAUAAUUCAUGUUAAUAGAGCUUUCCUGAAAGUCUUUUCUGCUUUCCAAAGAAUGAUACUGUCAUGGAACAAUUGUUCACUAAGGUCUUGUAAAUAGCUUUUUAAAAGCUUAGACUAUGUAUAGAAUUUAUAAUUGUGGGUCAGCAUCUCAGAUUUUGGAGGGGCUUCAGAAAAUGAAAAAAAAUUAAUAUUUAAAUAUUUAAGUAGAUUAACUCAUUGGAUUAAAUACUGGAAGUUAUUCUUAACGCAUGCUGUUUUUUUUGUAAUCCAAUAGACAAUAUUUAAGGUGAUUUGUCAGGGUUUUCUAAGGCUCUAAAGAACCCUGAGUAGAUAGAAAAUAUAAGCUCAGUCAAAUGCUGUGAUCUUCUAGGAAGUGCCUUUUAUCUGAAAAAAAAAAAAAUUUCCUGGAUUAUUGGAUGCUAAUGACUAAUGUGGUUCUAUUUAGGAAAAUAGGUGAGCUAUCUGGGAAAGAUUAGAUGCAAGGGAAAGUAAACUUGAUAGUAAACUUGAUAAGGGAGUGGGCAGCCAGGCAUUGUGACACCUGCACUUCAGCAGACAAACUUGAGCCAUAUUAUUUAGGCCUUGUCAUCUGACCUAUGUUGGUAGUGAUCAAUGUAUCAUUUAAAGAAUACUUUCUUACAUUCAAAGAAGAGGUACAAUAAUAAUAUAAAAAGAUUCAAAUGAAAUAAAAAUAGAAUAGUCAUUCAUGGUUAAUAAAGGUAAUCAAAUUUAUUAUCAUACUUGUGUGCAUAUUUUUACACCAUGCAGCAUAGACUGAUUCUUUUUUUUGUCUUUUUUUUUUUUUUGUUUUUUUUUUUUUUUUUUUUUUUUUAGGGCUGCACCUGUGGUUCUCAGGCUAGGGGUCCAGUUGGAGCUGUAGUUGCUGGCCUAUGCCACAGCAAUACCAUAUCUGAGCCAUGUCUGUGACCUACACCACAGCUCAUGGCAAUGCUGGAUCCUCGACCCGCUGGGUGAGGACAGCGAUCGAACCUGCGUUCUCAUGGAUGCUAGUCGGAUCCAUUUCCCGCCAAGCCACAACAGGAACUUGGGUCUGCUUCUUUACUUACGUUGGUGGUCACUUACAUUAACAUGCAGCAAAAAAAAUUCUAAGACCAACAACAUCUUAAUACCACUACAGUUGAAAUGACUCAUAAAACUGUUGCAAUUCCUUUUUUUAAAUAAGAAGAGUUAUGACACAUUUGAGUAGUCUAUCUAACAUUUUUAAACUUUACUUAAGUCUCAAAAUGUAGGUUUCAGAAUAUACCUAAGAAUUGGCUACUUAGCUUCUUGGGGUGAUAACUUUGUCCAUGUGGCUUCCAUCUAAGAGAAGAAAAACACUGAUUCUCUAACAUCUUGGUCUAAGAGCACACUUACGUCAAGUUUCUGGACAUACAUGAUCCAUCAGUUUCUGAGGGACCUUAAGAGAGAGAAAUGUUUUGUGCUGAAUAGAUGCAGACAGGGUGGAACAACUAUACUGAAGUGGUACAGUUAAUGUCUUUUAUGUUCACGACUGAUAACUUGAUUACCUGCUUCAUUCUGACAUUCUGUUCCAUCUCAUGCAUGAGAGCUGGUGUCACAGAGGGCAUCAUGCCUGGUCCAGUGGUGAUUAUUUCCUGAAAUGAACAUACAAGAAAUGAACAAAACAAGCAUUGAGGAAAUCAUAAGCCAGAACAUUAGUGUCUCCUGAAGUAAAGUGAAAAAACAAUGGAUGAUUUAUACCCAAUUAGCAAGAGGAGAUGACUGCUCAUUUCUUUAUUUAGUCAGAUAUUGACUGAAUGAUGACUUAAUACCUAGACUUUUUUUUAUAUACUAGUCCAGAACAUUCGCCCAAUUACUCCAGAAAUGCUUAUUGAGAUUUUAUUAUCCAAGGUAGUCAUUUACCUAGGACUGUAAACUUCCAGAAGGCAGAGUGUAAGGAAAGCCUCAUGAGGCAAUGCUUUUAGCAUAAGCACAAGUCAUUUUAUGUUUUAAGAUGAUGAUCACGAUGAUGAUUCUGAUGAUGGAAAAUAUUCAAAAAUUCUCUUAAAAUACAAUGUUGAGAAAUGAUAUGAGUGGAAGUGAAAAAUAAAGCAGCACACUUAGUUUUAUAUUAUUUUGUAGGAAGGAGAAAGAUUACCACUGAGGCAAGAUUGGAAAAGAGUAUAAAAUACUUUGUAUCAUCUUUAAAUCCUUGCUAGUAUAAUUUUAAAAUGUUGCAUAACAAUCCAUUUUAUGGUGUUACCAUGAUUUACUUAGUCAUGUCCUCAGUGAUCAUCGUAAAUUUAUCCUGGUAUAUAAAUAUUUACCAGUUUAAGCUCUAACUCAGCAUAGAGUCUCAGAAGUAGAGUUUUAAGUCAAAAGGCAUGGUUAAUUCUAUGGUUCUUUGGGCAUAUCAUCAAACUGAUUUCUAGAAAUUUGCACCACUUGAUAUUCAAACCAGAACUGUGGUGAAGAUUAACAAACAUAAAUGACUAAGAAGAGAAAAGAAAAGUUACACCCAGUAUAUACCUACCGUUUGGGGCAUGUUGCUUUCACACACAUAUUGCAUUAUUUAAAGAUCACAGCUACUCUGUGGAAAGUUUUGUGGUUGAAGUUAAGACUUGAGAAAAUGCUUGAAUGAUGCAUAGAUUUGGAAAAGGUGAAAAGAACGAGGAAGUGCCUUCCAGAUGGCAGAAACUCCUGGAACACCAAGUUGUAAACAAAUAUAGUUCUGUGGUCUUUGAGGUGAGCCUGAAAUAGCACCGCUGCUCGCUCUAUGUGUUCUGAACUGAUCGAAAUAUAUGACAGUAGUAAAGCAGAGGGAAACAAAAAAUGCUCCUUAGUGGUUAAGGGUUUUCUAAAGUGAAAAUCCCCAAAUUGGUUAGCAAAGAUCAGCCUUCCCAUUGCAUCGCGCCUCACUCUACUACGGCUUCAUUUUGGGCAGGUAGGCUUGUUCACAAGGGAGGAGACAGGAGCCUGAAUGGGGGUGCCUAAUUUUUCUUUCCAAUCUCAGAAAUGGUAAAUUAUCCCUCACCAGGAAAAAGAAGUGAGUGAGAGGGUGAAGAAAGGCUGAGAUUCCUAAAGCUAGAAGAGUUCCCUCCCCAAGGAAGACAAAUUUGGCAGUAGAGAAUGAAUGGUUUACCUUUGACAACAGGGCAUGUUGAGAACAGUGCAAGGACCAGCCUGGUUCAGUUUUACAUUGGGAAUCAAUAUAAGGUUGAUUAUGGCCCAUCUAAAGUGUCACGCUGGGGUGACAGCUGUUGCCUUUGGGAACCUUGAUGAUUCUGAGCAGUAGAGACAUAGCAUGACCUUUCUCUCUCCUCCAUAUUGUAAUUAUCCCUUUUGGCUGGUCAGGUUAUUGAAUUUCACACCAAUGGAGAUGGAGAAAGAUGCAACGUCUUAAAUAGCAAUUCUAGUUUUUCUUGGACUAUAUCCUUCCUUCCAGUGGCGAUCUGUCUUCCACUAUGUUCUUCUGUGGUGGGCCAAAAUCAACUAAACAAAAAUUGGCAAUUAAAUAAUUCCAUUAUGGAAGUCAUUCUGAAAACAUGGCUCAGAAUUAUGACUCAUCAGUGGCCAGAGACAAGGUAAUAAAAUUAUUUAGUUUAAUCUGUAGUGUGAGGUGGGCAGGUUGACUUUUGUGCCAAAUCAUUACUCUUUUGCUCACUACCAACCUCCCUCUCUGAAAAGAGAUAAUUCUAUGCACAAUUCAAGGUCACAUACAGGUCAGAGAUUAGGAGCACGGCUUAUGCCAUUCGAGCAGGAGAAUGAUGAUACUUAUGGAAUGAAAGGAAAGUGAUGUCCACUGUAACUUUUUGGUUAAAAGAUAAAGUUCUGGAGGUCCUGUCAUGGCGCAGCAGAAAAUGAAUCCGACUAGGAACAAUGAGGUUGUGCAUUCAAUCCCCGGCCUCGUUCAGUGGGUUAAGGAUCCGGCAUUGCUGUGAGUUGUGGUGUAGGUCACAGAUGUGGCUCGGAUCCAGCGUUGCUGUGGCUCUGGUGUAGGCCAGUGGCAAAAGCUCAGAUUAGACCCCUAGCCUGAGAACCUCCAUAUGCCACAGGUGCGGCCC
rnacentral:lncRNA from 1 species